rnacentral:rRNA from 1 species
GACGAACGCUGGCGGCGUGCUUAACACAUGCAAGUCGAGCGGAAAGGCCCUUCGGGGUACUCGAGCGGCGAACGGGUGAGUAACACGUGAGUAACCUGCCCCAGACUUUGGGAUAACCCUCGGAAACGGGGGCUAAUACCGGAUACGACACAGCUUCGCAUGGGGUCUGUGUGGAAAGUUUUUCGGUUUGGGAUGGGCUCGCGGCCUAUCAGCUUGUUGGUGGGGUGAUGGCCUACCAAGGCGACGACGGGUAGCCGGCCUGAGAGGGCGACCGGCCACACUGGGACUGAGACACGGCCCAGACUCCUACGGGAGGCAACAGUGGGGAAUAUUGCACAAUGGGCGGAAGCCUGAUGCAGCGACGCCGCGUGAGGGAUGACGGCCUUCGGGUUGUAACCUCUUUCAGCAGGGACGAAGCGUAAGUGACGGUACCUGCAGAAGAAGCGCCGGCCAACUACGUG